rnacentral:rRNA from 1 species
AGAUCUGCAUUGGGCGUAAAGUGUGCGCAGGCGGUUUUGUAAGACAGAGGUGAAAUCCCCGGGCUCAACCUGGGAACUGCCUUUGUGACUGCAAGGCUGGAGUGCGGCAGAGGGGGAUGGAAUUCCGCGUGUAGCAGUGAAAUGCGUAGAUAUGCGGAGGAACACCGAUGGCGAAGGCAAUCCCCUGGGCCUGCACUGACGCUCAUGCACGAAAGCGUGGGGAGCAAACA